GGCUUCCUCGUUCUGGGCCUGAGGCUGUGGUAGCAGCAACACCUGCUCUGGCUUCACCUGCAGCAGCCGCCGCACCGCGGGCUGUAAGCCGGACGCCACUGCCUCCCCGCACGACGAGGCCAAGGUCGCACUGGCUGCCGCGCUCAGUGUGGGAGACGACGGAGGGGGCUCCAUGGCUGCUGCCCAAAAGGAGGUGCCCUCGACCGGCAGCGGGGGCGGAGCGGGACGCAACGGGCGCGGCUGAGGCGGCGGCUCGGGUCUGGCUCUCUCCAUGGGGGAGGGGGACGCCCCGGCCAGGAUUGUGAGCUCAGCCGUUUGUUGGCGACCUUCCCCCUCCCCCUUUCGGUUAAGAGCCUUGCAAGGCCUUUGCUACCCAGAACCCUACGCGGUUCAAAACGCAGCUGUCUGUCUGGGCCUCACCCAAUCACAACGACCGAUACCCGUGGACGGCCAAUCACAGGCGGGUUUUCCGGCUCUUCCUGGUCCCUACUCUCGCCUCGUGCUGAGUCCUCGAAUCACCUGCCAUGGACACAAUUGGAAACAGUGGUUAUUUUACCAACGCUUUGACUGGAAUGGCACGUUUUCCUUUAAGGAAUCAAACUUGACUUGUAAAGCCAAUAAAAGCCCCUUGGGGAAUUGGCCUCAGACCUUGUCUACAACAGCCCCUGUACAGGGUUUCUGACCUGUGAUAUCACCUUUUGUCAAAACUCGGAGUUAUGAAUUGCCCUCGCCAUACUGAUGCUUUCUGACUGAGCUCCUCUCUACCCUGAAUACAAGAGACUCUCAUAGUUAAGCAAGAAUAUCAUUGCUCCUAUUCAGCAUGAAGAAGUUACAGAAGAUGGAUUUUCAACCCUCUGCAACCCUUAGGAUUAAAAUUAUACAAACCUUUAGGAUUAUAAAAGGGAGGGGGUAAUGUCAGGCGUGUGAACCAGAGCAACUCCAUUUUGAGUAGAAGCUGUGUAAAACGAGGCUGAAACCUACUAGGCUGCAUUCCCAGACAGUUAAGGCAUUCUAAGUCACAGGAUGAGAUAGGAGGCUGGCAUAAAAUACAGGUCAUAAACAGCUUGCAGAUAAAACAGGUUGCAGUAAAGAAGCUGGCUAAAACCCACCAAAACCUAGAUGGUGACAAGAGUCACUUCUUAUCAUCCUCACUGCUACACUCCCACCAGUGCCAUGAUAGUUUACAGAUGCCAUGGCAACAUCAGGACAUUACCCUAUAUGGUCUAAAAAGGGAUGCAUGAAUAAUUCACCCCUUGUUUAGCAUAUCAUCAAGUACUAACCAUAAAAAUGGGCAACCAGCACUCUGUCUAUGGAGUAGCCAUUCUUUUAUUGCUUUACUUUCUUAAACGUGCUUUCACUUUACUCUGUGGACUCAUCCUGAAUUCUUUCUUGUGUGAGAUCCAAGAACCUUCUCUUGGGUUCUGGACCUGGACCCCUUUCCUGUAACAUCUUUCUGGUGACCCAGAUGAGCCUAUAGUGCAGAUAUUCCCAGUAAGUGCUAGGAUCCUGUAACGUCUUUCUGGUGACCAUGGAAUGGUCCCACUAUACUGUGGAAACCCCCAACUCAAAGGCUAACUUUGGGUAAGUGGUGGGGUCCAAUAAGAAAGUUAGUGUUAAUUUUGUGCAAGGUUUCAGUUCAUAUUCUGAUUUCAGUUAUCAAAAUGUAAUUGACAAUAGAUGCAUGGGUGUAUUUCUGAACUCUCUGUUCUGUUCCUUCCAUUCCUUCCAUCUAUGUACUAUAAACCAAAAGUAUCUGAGGCAAGCCUUAAUCAAUUUAGAAGUUUAUUUUGCCAAGGUUAAGGACAUCCCCGUGACACAGCCUCAAGAAGUCCUGACAACAUGUCACCAAGGUGGUCAGGCUACAGCUUGCUUUUAUACAUUUUAGGGAGACAUAGGACAUCAUUCAAUACUGUAAGAUGUACAUAGCUUCAGUCCAGAGAGGUGUGACAACUCAAAUCAGGGCUUCCAGAUCACAGGUGGAUUCAAAGAUUUUCUGAAUGGCAAUUGGUUGAAAGACUUAUCUAAAGACCUAGAAUCAACAGAAGGGAGUGUCUGGGUUAAGAUAUGGGGUUGUGGAUACCAAGGUUCUUAUUAUGCAGAUAAAGCCUCCAGAUAGUAGGCUUCAGAGAAUAUCAGACCUAAAAAGUCUAUUCUGUCAGUCUGAAAGUCGCUGUUUCUAUGUUAAUGCUGGUCAGCUGUGCCUGAAUUCCAACGGGAGGAAUGUUUAAUGAGGCAUGUCUGACCACCCAUUCCCAUUGUAGCCUGAGCUAGUGUUUUAGGUUUACUUUAAAAUGCCCUAGCCUGGUGCAGUUGUUCAUGCCUGCAUUCCCAGCACUUUGGAAGGCUGAGGCAAAAGUAUUGCUUGAGUCCAAGAAUUUUAGACCGACAUGGGCAACGUGGCAAAAUCUCGUCUCUACAAAACAAUACAAAAAUUAGCCAGGUGUGAUGGCCUGUGCCUGUAGUCCUAGCUACUCGGGAGGCCGAGGCUGGAGAAUUGCUUGAGUUCAGGAAGCAGAGGUUGCAGUGAGCUGAGACUGCACCAGUGCACUCCAGCCUGGGCAACAGAGUGAGACUCUGUCUCAAAAAUAUAAAAUAAAAUAAAAUAAAAUAAAGUAAAGUAAAAUAAAAUAAAAUAUAAAAUAAAAUAAUAAAAUAUAAAAAAUAUACCCUUGGCCAAAAGGAGGGGUCCAUUUCAUUGGUUGGGGAAUUUAGAAUUUUAUUUUUGGUUUACAGUAUCUCUUUUUUUUUCUUUUGUUACAAAUGGGGUUCUUACUCUGUUACCCAGGCUGGAUUAUAGGCAUGAGUCACCGUGCCAAGCUAUAUACAUAUUUUUAUGCCAGUACCACAGUCUUGAUUACUCUAGCUUUAUGGUAAAUUUUGAAAUUUUGAAAUCAUGUAAGUCCUUGAACUUUGUUCUUUCAUUAAAUCAUAUUGGCUUUUCUUGGUCCUUUGGAUUUAAAAGAUAAAUUUUAGGUUCAUCAUAUCAAUUUCUUUUAAAGCAAACCCUAAUGGUAUUUAGAUAGAAAUUAUAUUGAAUCUAUGGAUCAAUUUUGGGAAAACUGACACCUUGAUGAUACUGUAUUUUCCUAUUUGCAAACAUGGGACAUAUCUCCAUUUAUUUAGGUCUUAAUUUCCUUUGACAAUGUUUUAUAAUUUUCAGUGUACUGUCCUGUACUUCUUUCAUUAACUUUAUUUCUAAAUCCUUUAUUCUUUUUAUGCUAUUUGUGAAUGUAAUUUUUUAAAAUUUCCUUUGCAGUUGGUUGUAUGUUGAUUUUUGUAUUUUUAUUUUCUUACCUUAUUGCACUGGCUGGAACUUUUAGUCCAAGGUUAAAUAGAAGUGGUGAGAGUGUACAUCCUUUUGCCUUGCACCCAGUCUUAGGAAGAAAGCAUCCAGUCAUUCACCUUUAAGCAUGUUGUUAGUCAUAGGUUUAUGUAGCUGCCUUUUAUCAAAGUAAGAAAGUUUCCUUCUAUUCCUAGUUUAUUGAGAAUUCUACCAUGAAUAGUAGUUCAAUUUUAUCAAAUGCUUUGUCUGUGUCUAUUGAGAUGAUUAUAUGGCUUUUUCCUUUAAGGGUCAGCAACAUUUUCCAGAAAAGGCUAUAUAGUAAAUAUUUUUGGUUUUGUGAGCCAUAUGAGCUCUGUUGCAACCAAUCAACUCUGCUUUGUAGCAGAAAGCAAUCAUAGACAAUAUGCAAAUGAAUGGGCUUGGCUUUGUUUCAGUAAACUUUAUUUGCAAAAACAAAUGUCAUGCCAGAUUUGGCCCAAGGGCUAUAGUUUGCUUUUGGCUAUAGUUUGCUGACCACUGAUUUAUUCUAUUAAUAUAUGUAUUACAUGAAUUGAUACUCAGAUGUUAAGCUAAAGAACAUUCCUGUAAUAAAUCGACCACACUUGGUAAUAGUGUAUAAUCCUUUUUGUACAUUACUGGAUCUAAUUUGUUGUUAUUUAAACAAUUUUAGCAUUUACAUUCAUGACGAGUGUUGUUCUAUAAUUUUCUUGUGAUAUCUUUGUCUGUGGCUUUUAGUAUCAGGGUAAAAUGAGCUGUAAAGUGUCCCCUUCUAUUCUUGAAAAGAUUUCCAUUGGAUUGGUAUUAUUAAUUAUUUAAAUGUUAAUAGAGUUCCCAAUAAAACCAUGGAGGCCUGGACUUUGCUUUGAAGAAGAUUCUAAAAUAAUUUAAUUAAACGCUUUAAUGUUUUUCACUGA